CCUACGGGAGGCAGCAGUGAGGAAUAUUGGUCAAUGGACGAGAGUCUGAACCAGCCAAGUAGCGUGAAGGAUGACUGUCCUAUGGGUUGUAAACUUCUUUUAUAUGGGAAUAAAACGUUCCACGUGUGGCAUUUUGUAUGUACCAUAUGAAUAAGGAUCGGCUAACUCCGUGCCAGCAGCCGCGGUAAUACGGAGGAUCCGAGCGUUAUCCGGAUUUAUUGGGUUUAAAGGGCGCGUAGGUUGAUUGUUAAGUCAGUUGUGAAAGUUUGCGGCUCAACCGUAAAAUUGCAGUUGACACUGGCAGUCUUGAGUACAGUAGAGGUGGGCGGAAUGCGUGGUGUAGCGGUGAAAUGCUUAGAUAUCACGAAGAACUCCGAUUGCGAAGGCAGUUCACUGGACUGCAACUGACACUGAGGCUCGAAAGUGUGGGUAUCAAACAGGAUUAGAAACCCUUGUAGUC
rnacentral:rRNA from 1 species